UUGAUGAAAUUUGACAUUGGGCUGUC
rnacentral:sRNA from 1 species